CGUUAGCUCAGAUCGAUAGAGUGUCUGACUACGAAUCAGAAGGCCGUAGGUUCGAGUCCUACCGGGGGGCCA
rnacentral:tRNA from 1 species